UUGGAGGGCAAGUCUGGUGCCGGCAGCCGCGGUAAUUCCAGCUCCAAUAGCGUAUAUUAAAGUUGUUGCAGUUAAAAAGCUCGUAGUUGAAUUUCGAGACCGGUUUAUUGGUCGUGCUUUUGUACGUACUGGUAUUAUUGGUUUCUCCUUUCUGACGAAUCUUAAUGCCAUUAAUUUGGUGUUUUGGGGAGUCAGGACUGUUACUUUGAAAAAAUUAGAGUGUUUAAAGCAGGCUCACGCUUGGAUACAUUAGCAUGGAAUAACGGAAUAGGACGUUUGAUUCUAUUUUGUUGGUUUCUAGGAUCGACGUAAUGAUUAAUAGGGAUAGUUGGGGGCAUUGGUAUUCAAUUGUCAGAGGUGAAAUUCUUGGAUUUAUUGAAGACUAACUACUGCGAAAGCAUUUGCCAAGGAUGUUUUCAUUAAUCAAGAACGAAAGUUAGGGGAUCGAAGACGAUCAGAUACCGUCGUAGUCUUAACCAUAAACUAUGCCGACUAGGGAUCGGAUGAUGUUAAUUUUUUAAUGACUCAUUCGGCGCCUUACGGGAAAC
rnacentral:rRNA from 1 species